rnacentral:rRNA from 1 species
UGGGGAAUAUUGGACAAUGGGCGAAAGCCUGAUCCAGCAAUGCCGCGUGAGUGAUGAAGGCCUUAGGGUUGUAAAGCUCUUUUUACCAGGGAUGAUAAUGACAGUACCUGGAGAAUAAGCUCCGGCUAACUCCGUGCCAGCAGCCGCGGUAAUACGGAGGGAGCUAGCGUUGUUCGGAAUUACUGGGCGUAAAGCGUACGUAGGCGGUGACUCAAGUCAGAGGUGAAAGCCUGGAGCUCAACUCCAGAACUGCCUUUGAUACUGGCUGUCUCGAGGUCGAGAGAGGUUGGUGGAAUUCCUAGUGUAGAGGUGAAAUUCGUAGAUAUUAGGAAGAACACCAGUGGCGAAGGCGGCCAACUGGCUCGAUACUGACGCUGAGGUGCGAAAGCGUGGGGAGCAAACAGGAUUAGAUACCCAAGUAGUCCCUGAGCGGGCUGGCAAGGCGCAU